UACGGAGGGUGCGAGCGUUGUCCGGAAUCAUUGGGCGUAAAGGGCGCGUAGGUGGCCCGGUCAGUUCGUGGUGAAAGCGCGGGGCUCAACUCCGCGUCGGCCAUGAAUACUGCUGGGCUUGAGCACUGUAGAGGCAGGCGGAAUUCCGGGUGUAGCGGUGGAAUGCGUAGAGAUCCGGAAGAACACCGGUGGCGAAGGCGGCCUGCUGGGCAGUAGCUGACACUGAGGCGCGACAGCGUGGGGAGCAAACAGGG
rnacentral:rRNA from 1 species